rnacentral:rRNA from 1 species
AUUGAACGCUGGCGGCAGGCCUAACACAUGCAAGUCGAACGGUAACAGGAAGAAGCUUGCUUCUUUGCUGACGAGUGGCGGACGGGUGAGUAAUGUCUGGGAAACUGCCUGAUGGAGGGGGAUAACUACUGGAAACGGUAGCUAAUACCGCAUAACGUCGCAAGACCAAAGAGGGGGACCUUCGGGCCUCUUGCCAUCGGAUGUGCCCAGAUGGGAUUAGCUAGUAGGUGGGGUAACGGCUCACCUAGGCGACGAUCCCUAGCUGGUCUGAGAGGAUGACCAGCCACACUGGAACUGAGACACGGUCCAGACUCCUACGGGAGGCAGCAGUGGGGAAGAUUGCACGAUGGGGGCAAGCCUGAUGCAGCCAUGCCGCGUGUAUGAAGAAGGCCUUCGGGUUGUAAAGUACUUUCAGCGGGGAGGAAGGGAGUAAAGUUAAUACCUUUGCUCAUUGACGUUACCCGCAGAAGAAGCACCGGCUAACUCCGUG